AUUGAACGCUGGCGGCAGGCCUAACACAUGCAAGUCGAACGGUAACAGGAAGAAGCUUGCUUCUUUGCUGACGAGUGGCGGACGGGUGAGUAAUGUCUGGGAAACUGCCUGAUGGAGGGGGAUAACUACUGGAAACGGUAGCUAAUACCGCAUAACGUCGCAAGACCAAAGAGGGGGACCUUCGGGCCUCUUGCCAUCGGAUGUGCCCAGAUGGGAUUAGCUAGUAGGUGGGGUAACGGCUCACCUAGGCGACGAUCCCUAGCUGGUCUGAGAGGAUGACCAGCCACACUGGAACUGAGACACGGUCCAGACUCCUACGGGAGGCAGCAGUGGGGAAUAUUGCACAAUGGGCGCAAGCCUGAUGCAGCCAUGCCGCGUGUAUGAAGAAGGCCUUCGGGUUGUAAAGUACUUUCAGCGGGGAGGAAGGGAGUAAAGUUAAUACCUUUGCUCAUUGACGUUACCCGCAGAAGAAGCACCGGCUAACUCCGUGCCAGCAGCCGCGGUAAUACGGAGGGUGCAAGCGUUAAUCGGAAUUACUGGGCGUAAAGCGCACGCAGGCGGUUUGUUAAAGUCAGAUGUGAAAUCCCCGGGGCUCAACCUGGGAACUGCAUCUGAUACUGGCAAGCUUGAGUCUCGUAGAGGGGGGUAGAAUUCCAGGUGUAGCGGUGAAAUGCGUAGAGAUCUGGAGGAAUACCGGUGGCGAAGGCGGCCCCCUGGACGAAGACUGACGCUCAGGUGCGAAAGCGUGGGGAGCAAACAGGAUUAGAUACCCCGGUAGUCCACGCCGUAAACGAUGUCGACUUGGAGGUUGUGCCCUUGAGGCGUGGCUUCCGGAGCUAACGCGUUAAGUCGACCGCCUGGGGAGUACGGCCGCAAGGUUAAAACUCAAAUGAAUUGACGGGGGCCCGCACAAGCGGUGGAGCAUGUGGUUUAAUUCGAUGCAACGCGAAGAACCUUACCUGGUCUUGACAUCCACAGAACUUUCCAGAGAUGGAUUGGUGCCUUCGGGAACUGUGAGACAGGUGCUGCAUGGCUGUCGUCAGCUCGUGUUGUGAAAUGUUGGGUUAAGUCCCGCAACGAGCGCAACCCUUAUCUUUUGUUGCCAGCGGUCCGGCCGGGAACUCAAAGGAGACUGCCAGUGAUAAACUGGAGGAAGGUGGGGAUGACGUCAAGUCAUCAUGGCCCUUACGACCAGGGCUACACACGUGCUACAAUGGCGCAUACAAAGAGAAGCGACCUCGCGAGAGCAAGCGGACCUCAUAAAGUGCGUCGUAGUCCGGAUUGGAGUCUGCAACUCGACUCCAUGAAGUCGGAAUCGCUAGUAAUCGUGGAUCAGAAUGCCACGGUGAAUACGUUCCCGGGCCU
rnacentral:rRNA from 1 species